rnacentral:rRNA from 1 species
CCCCUCAAGAUGAGAUUUCCCAUAGCGUAAGCUAGUAAGAUCCCUGAAAGAUGAUCAGGUUGAUAGGUUCGAGGUGGAAGCAUGGUGACAUGUGGAGCUGACGAAUACUAAUAGAUCGAGGACUUAACCAU